rnacentral:rRNA from 1 species
UACGUAGGGGGCGAGCGUUGUCCGGAUUUACUGGGCGUAAAGCGCACGUAGGCGGAUCGUUAAGUGAGGGGUGAAAUCCCAGGGCUCAACCCUGGAACUGCCUUUCAUACUGGCGAUCUAGAGUCCGGAAGAGGUGAGUGGAACUCCUAGUGUAGAGGUGGAAUUCGUAGAUAUUAGGAAGAACACCAGUGGCGAAGGCGGCUCACUGGUCCGGUACUGACGCUGAGGUGCGAAAGCGUGGGGAGCAAACAGG